CCGUAGCGAAAGCGAGUCUGAACAGGGCGCUUAGUUAGUAGUGGUAGACGCGAAACCGUGUGAUCUACCCAUGGGCAGGGUGAAGCUGUGGUAACACAUAGUGGAGGCCCGAACCCGUUGACGUUGAAAAGUCUUGGGAUGACCUGUGGGUAGGGGUGAAAGGCCAAUCAAACUCGGUGAUAGCUGGUUCUCCGCGAAAACUAUUUAGGUAGUGCGUCGGAUGAAUACUCCAGGGGGUAGAGCACUGGAUGGGCUAGGGGAUCUCACCGAUUUACCAAACCUAACCAAACUCCGAAUACCUGGAAGUACUAUCCGGCAGACACACGGCGGGUGCUAACGUCCGUCGUGGAGAGGGAAACAACCCUGACCGACAGCUAAGGCCCCCAAUUCGUGGCUAAGUGGGAAAGGAUGUGGGACUCCCAAAACAACCAGGAGGUUGGCUUAGAAGCAGCCAUCCUUUAAAGAUAGCGUAACAGCUCACUGGUCUAAUCAAGAUGUCUUGCGGCGAAGAUGUAACGGGGCUCAAGCCAUGAGCCGAAGCCGAGGAUGCACAUAGUGCAUGGUAGCAGAGCGUAGUGUG
rnacentral:rRNA from 1 species